CGCCCCCGCCCACCCCCGGCUCAUUUACCGAUGUGGUUGUCCUCGAUGUGCUCGAUGAGGUCGGCCAGGGUGGGGAAGUGGAGUCCGCAGCCCCCGAAUCGGCAGUGGGGCAAGGCUCUGAAGAGGCGGGGCUCCAGGACAUUUUGGUGAGGUCAUCUGUUCAGGGAAGUCAGGUUCUUCAGCUACCCUAGAUUGUGUGUGCCUUCCUACCAUUGACUUUGGGCUGGAGUGGAGAACACCAGCAUGAGGAAAGGUUUCCUGUUGAGAUUAGAAGUUUGUACCACCACUUACUAGCAUAACGUCAUGGAAGGCUGAUUCUACACUUGCAGUAAAGUGAUGGAGACUAACAGAAGACUAGAGGAAUAUGAAAGUAAAUUAAGGGAAGAAUUGGUGAAUUGUCAUGCCAGGAUCUACCUGUUUUUGACAUAUGUGUACCAUAUACGUGUGCCAAGCCCCAGUUGCUCUCUGUCAUCAGUACUACAACUCUCACACGAAGUAUAUCCAGGAGACCCCUUGUCAGCAUCUGCAGUACCACAACCCUGGAACAAGAAGCCAGAAUUUCAUUGUGGAUUACUGCAACAAAUGUCUUCCUGUGUCCACCCUUAGACCAGUCCAAUCUACAUUUUCCACAUGAAUUGUCAGAGUGAGCCUCCUAAAUGAUAAGUUGGGUCCUGUCAUCUCUUACUUGACUUCUCUAAUGGCUUCCUUGUCUCCCAAGGAAAAGGACAAAGUCCUUACAUUUUUCUGCUAGGCAUGACCUUAUCUAACAAAGGACAUCAGAGUUCUCUGUUCUUAUCAGGGUUGAUGUCACUCUGUACUGGAUGAGUUUUUUUUCCCCCUGAAACUAGCUGUCCUGCAGAGACAUCAGCCACUGAAAACAGAGAAUACUAAGAGAAAGUAGGUGGCAGGAUGAGAAUAUUUCUUUUCAUGAAAAGCCAAAAGGGGGGAGGGAUGUUGAUGCCUCAGUAAUAAUGUUUUUAUAUAUAGCAAGUAACAAUGCCAGUCUGUAAGUUUAGAUAUUUCAGGGGUUUAUUUUAGUUAUUAUAACACAGCUCAAUUUAUAUCCAGAGCAGUGAGGUCCUAGAGACUUUUCUAAGAUGAUGGGAAUGUUCAUUAUCUACACUGUCAAAUAAUGUCAUCAAUUCUGAGAAAAUGCCAUAAAAACUAGGACUUCUCAGUCAACUUAAGGAAUUCCUAUCGUUAUUUCCUCAUUGACUCUAAAUUUUAUAAAGAUCCUUGAAGAUGUCUGUUUCUAAAUCCUCUGUCAUCUGCUGAGUUCUUACUUGGUUUACUAUCUGAGGUCACUCAGGAGUCUAUCUUUUCUGGUUUUCUGGUCAUUUAGUGAUUAUUAUUUGAGACUUUCGUGUUUGUCUCUCUCUCUGUGUGUGUGUGUUUGUGAUUAGACUCUAAUAUUUGGUUCUCUCAUAGAAAAGAGAAGUGGGCUGGUGAUACAUGAGAUGUGUCAAAUGUAGAUAAAUUGGUAGCUUGUGAGACAUGUUAAACAUAGAUAAAGUAAGGCUUGUGAAUACUGAACACAGGAAGAAAAUGAAAGAGCAAUGAGAUGCCUAAUUUUCAAAAAGCACUAAAUAUUCAGAGGCACCUAAUCUAUAAGAGAUAUACUCCAAACACAGGAAACAAGUAAGGCACUAGAUAUUCAUGCUGUCUUACAUUAGUCACCCAUUGGUAGUACCCAUUCUACCUAAAUAAAUUCAGAGCUGCUCAUCAGGCCAACUAGGAAGUUACACAUAUCUAGCAAGAUAUAUACUUCUCUGUUUCUCUCAUGUAAAACCAUUGUCAUUGUUGGUCCUUAUUACCAUUGUUGGCAUCUUAUUUCUCUUGGACUUCUUCUUUUUUUUCAAACCUCAUCUUCUUUCCCUGCAAAACCCCAUCAGUAGGAAAGGGUGGUGGCACAGAGAGAUGGGGCCUGUGAGUACCAUAUGAUAAAGGUUUUAGGUGUGACUAAUCUGCCUUGCUUCCAUCUCUUACCUAAGAUGUUACACAAGGUGGAAGAUGAAUGCUAUCUCUCUCUCUCUUUUUUUUUGUUGCCCUUUUUUUUGUUGUUAUAGUUAUUAUUGUUGUUGUUAUUAAUGUUGUCGUUGUUGAAUAGGACUGAGAGACAUGGAGAGAGAAGGGGAAGACAAAGAGGGGGAGAGAAAGAUAGACAUCUGAAGAUCUGCUUCAUUGCCUGUGAAGUGACUCCUUUGCAGGUGGGGAGCCGGGGGCUCGAACCGGGAUCAUUAUGCUGGUCCUUACGCUUCAUACCAUGUGCACUUAACCUGCUGCACUACCACCCGACCCCAUCUCUCUCCUUUUU